GACGAACGCUGGCGGCGUGCUUAACACAUGCCAGUCGAACGGAAAGGCCCUGCUUUUGUGGGGUGCUCGAGUGGCGAACGGGUGAGUAACACGUGAGUAACCUGCCCUUGACUUUGGGAUAACUUCAGGAAACUGGGGCUAAUACCGGAUAGGAGCCCCUGCUGCAUGGUGGGGGUUGGAAAGUUUCGGCGGUUGGGGAUGGACUCGCGGCUUAUCAGCUUGUUGGUGGGGUAGUGGCUUACCAAGGCUUUGACGGGUAGCCGGCCUGAGAGGGUGACCGGCGACAUUGGGACUGAGAUACGGCCCAGACUCCUACGGGAGGCAGCAGUGGGGAAUAUUGCACAAUGGGCGGAAGCCUGAUGCAGCAACGCCGCGUGCGGGAUGACGGCCUUCGGGUUGUAAACCGCUUUCGCCUGUGACGAAGCGUGAGUGACGGUAAUGGGUGAAGAAGCACCGGCUAACUACGUG
rnacentral:rRNA from 1 species